rnacentral:rRNA from 1 species
GUGCCUAAGAAAUGCAAGUCGAGCGGGGGGAGCAAUCCCCCAGCGGCGAACGGUCGCGUAACACGUAAGCAACCUGCCCGAAAGACCGGGACAACAGUUCGAAAGGGCUGCUAAUACCGGAUGCGCCCGGCGGAAGACCUCUUCUGCCGAGUAAAUCAUUCAUGGCUUUCGGAGGGGCUUGCGGCCUAUCAGCUAGAUGGCGGGGUAACGGCUCACCAUGGCGACGACGGGUAGCUGGUCUGAGAGGAUGGUCAGCCGGACUGGGACUGAGAUACGGCCCAG